GUAGUUUCUGUUCUCUAGUUUCGUUUUGGCCUUUUGGGUCCUACUUUUGUUCUUCUCGUGUACUGUUGCUGGUUUGACUUCGGUUAUGUGCACACCUGAUUUUAUUCGGCUAUAUCCAGCGUUCAUAGAUUCGUUAGAAUUUUUGGUGGGAACCUUCUGGCUCAGUAUUUCAGUUUUAGUGCUUAGCUCUCUUAUUCGUCCCAUGAGCUGUUUUCUGCUUGGCCCUUCUUUUGUCUCCGUUUCUUUGGUGCUUUGUUUCUAGAGGAGGGUGUCAUGCUGGCUAUGUAUGUAUUACAAAAGUCUUUUUUUUUUCACUACAACAAUAGUUAGUAUUCUUAGUAUUAGAAGAUAGCAAUGGGUGUGGUUCUACUGUAU